GCCAGGUACGGUGGUGCGUGCCUGUAGUUCCAGCUUCUUGGGAGGCUGAGGUGGGAAGAUCGCUUGAGCCCAGGAGUUCUGGGCUGUAGUGCACAAUGCCAAUCGGGUGUCCGCACUAAGUUCGGCAUCAAUGUGGUGACCUCCCAGAAGCUAGGCACCACCAAGGUGCCUAAGGAGGGGUGAACUGGCCCGGGUCAGAAACUCCUGUGCUGAUCGGUAGUGGGAUUGCACCUGUGAACAGCCACUGCACUCCAGCCUGAGCAACACAGAGAGACCCUGUCUCU
rnacentral:SRP_RNA from 1 species